GUACGCUCUGUCAUUGUAUGCACAGACCAGGGCGCACUAGAGGCAUGUAUCCCGACACCUCUAUGCUUCGACUGGGGUUCCGUACGCCCUUCCCUUAACCGAGAAGGAGAACUCACAGUGCUGCCAAAACUCCACAAUUCUAGACCAUAUAAGGAUGAACCCCGUGGACUAUACAUAUUGAGGCUUUCACGUCUCCCAGACUCUGG